rnacentral:rRNA from 1 species
AUUGAACGCUGGCGGAAUGCUUUACACAUGCAAGUCGAACGGCAGCACGGGGGCAGCCCUGGUGGCGAGUGGCGAACGGGUGAGUAAUACAUCGGAACGUGCCCGGUCGUGGGGGAUAACGUAGCGAAAGUUACGCUAAUACCGCAUACGAUCUGAGGAUGAAAGCGGGGGACCUUCGGGCCUCGCGCGAUCGGAGCGGCCGAUGUCAGAUUAGGUAGUUGGUGGGGUAAAGGCCUACCAAGCCGACGAUCUGUAGCUGGUCUGAGAGGACGACCAGCCACACUGGGACUGAGACACGGCCCAGACUCCUACGGGAGGCAGCAGUGGGGAAUUUUGGACAAUGGGCGCAAGCCUGAUCCAGCCAUGCCGCGUGCAGGACGAAGGCCUUCGGGUCGUAAACUGCUUUUGUACGGAACGAAAAGGCUCUGGCUAAUACCUGGGGCUCAUGACGGUACCGUAAGAAUAAGCACCGGCUAACUACGUG